AUUACUCAACCCCGGACCCUCCCAGAGAGCCACAGCGAAGGGUUUUCUCACCUUUCCUCCCUGUUCCCAUAUCCAACAAGCAUGAACCAGAAAGGGCCUGAGUCACCAGGUCAUGUGACUGAAAGUGCACACGGGGCCUCUCCACACUUGGCACGGCCAGAUGAAACCCAAAUCGCCGUGCCCUGCAAGCUAAGAGCACCAAGCAGUUGCAGGUUUGUCUCAGGAAACAUCCCGGGGCUGCCGUCCAGCCAUUCAAGCUUUUGAGAAACUUCUUACUUAGAAAUGAUUCAUUCCGAGGCACAAUGGCCUGGCCAUAAGACGGGUUCAGUUGGCCACGUUGUUCACAUUGGGGGUCUGCUGGACACUGCAGCUCCAGGAUUGCUGAGGGGAGGCCUCAGCGCCACUCCCUGCUGUAGACGCCAAUCACUGUUCUCCACAGAAGAGGAUGUUUGCAAUGGCUCCUCCCCUGCUCUCUGGCUGCUGUUCAGGAAAGGAAGCCCAAGCCCAGAGAGAUGGAGCGAUUCGCCCAGGGUCACACAUCUGGUCCGUGCCCUUCACCUAGGAGUGGACCAGCACACAUCCAAGAUAUGUCUGGAAUGCCUAUUCUGCACCAGGCUUUGUGCUAGGAACUAGGUUUUCUCCCAUCCGUCUUUCAGAAUCAUACGUUUUAUAAUGUAGAAAUGUAUGGUCACUUUCAAUCAGGUUGCUAAAUUUAAAUUUUCGAAUACGUAUUCCCUGAAAGUGAUUAUCACAUCAAGGGCUGUGUUUUUCAAUCUGGUGAUUUGAUUUCUCCACCACCUGCCAGAAAGGGCCGUUUCUCCUAAGGGAGCUUCAGAACUUCCUCCGCAUCGCUUCCACGCUGUCUCCUUCAAAGAAGAUAAACACAGAAAAUGUUGGGCUGCACUGCAGCAUUCUGUAUUGAAAAACUUCGGUUAAGUUGUUCAAAGAAAACUGUGGAGCUUGGUCAAGAGCUUGGUAUCAUUUUCUUGAGGCUAAUUGCUAAAUAUCACUUUUCUGAUGUCCUUGAAGUCCCUGAAUCAGCUGAGAAAAGAAUUGUCAGUAUUCGUAUGACCUAAAUAAUUUUGAAAUCUGCCCUGGAUAUUAGGCCACUGGUACUUAUUACUGUAAGAAACUACACUCUCAGAAAGUGGAAGAGUUCAUUUAAAUAAUGGAGUUGAAAAUAAAGUGAAAAAAGUAAUAGAGGUGGGGAGGGAGGUACUCAGGUAGCAGUUUAGUGAAUACUAACGGCUGACCAAAGGGACUCACACCCAAAUUUACAGAUGCUGAAAUCUAACUCCUUGAACAUCUGCUCAGGAACCCACACAGGCC
rnacentral:lncRNA from 1 species